UCUGUCUUGGCACCCCUGAUGUAUGAAACUAAACCAUGAUUAUUAAAAUGGGGAAGCAUCUCUGCCGACUACGUUAAUUUCCCAAUGGUUACUAAGAGGUUGCUUACAAGACAUUAUUGCUCUCACACAGAUUUGUACAGAGGAUCCAAGCCAGCUGGCACAUUUACCAUGAACAGCGCCUAGUACCUCCUAUCACCAACCAGUGCCAGUGUGUGAGGGCUAACUCACAGUCUCCAGAGGCGAGUGCAGGAACCUGGGACAAGAUGUCCUACAGAGGAGCCCUACCCCAUGGAGAAAAUGCUCUGGAGAGGGUAAGCCAAGGAAUCAGCAGGCACCAGCCUGGAAAGAGGACACCGCCACCUACAUGCCAUGGGAGAAGGGAUGGAUACCAAAAACCACAACUAAGGCAAAACCACCUUGGUUAAAGAUACAAACCGAGACUUGCCCGUUGUUUGGCAUCAGACAACACGUGUGCAAUGUGCUGAGCCCUACUCCGCGCACACGGAAUGUGUACAGGGCUGUCACCAGCGGCCCGGCCUCCCAGCUCCCUCAGCCGGCCCGGCCGCGCUGCUCCGGCAGAGGAACCGUCCCGUCCCGUCCCGCCGCUCCGCUGUUACAGCUCUCUUCUCCUGCAGAUUCCCAGCCGGAUCUGCUCCCAGCCCGGCUCUGCACAGCCCAGCCCGGCCUUGGCAGGCCUGAGGAAACUCGGCGCUGAGGCGACUCCAGCCCGGGGCCCUGAGAGUAAAAGAUGCCAUUGCAAACAAAGGGAGGAGCCUGGAGAAAUAAAUCUACGGAAAAUUAAGGAGCAGAAACAAGUGAAACAGGAGUAACGAACCACUCACCUAAGCAAAGAACCAGUGCCAAGAACCCCCCUGCGUAACUGCAUUUUCAAACCUCUGCACUCUUAAAGAGUGAAAAGGGGAUGUUCUCUAACCUCACGAAUAAUAAAUAGCCCUGUUAAUAAAGGAAGAGAGAGGCUUUUAGUGAUGGUUAAAUACUACAUACCCAGUAUAAUUAAUAAAAAAUACACAGUGAGCUGCA